rnacentral:rRNA from 1 species
GACGAACGCUGGCGGCGUGCUUAACACAUGCAAGUCGAACGGUGACGCGCCUUCCUUUUUGGUUGGUGUGGCUGAGUGGCGAACUGGUGAGUAACACGUUAGUAACCUGCCCCCUUCUUCUGGUUAACCGCAUGAAAGUGUGGCUAAUACGGGAUAUCCUGGGUCUGUCUCAUGAUGGGUCUGGUAAAGCUAUUGUUUCGGUGUGCGAUGUGCGUGCGGCCUAUCAGCUUGUUGGUCGGGUGAUGGCCUACCGAGGCGAUGAGGGGUAGCCGGCCUGAGAGGGUGGACGGUCAGAGGGGGGCUGGGACACGGGCCGGACUUGUACGGGAGGCAGCAGUGGGGGGUAUUGCACAAUGGGCGAAAGCCUGAUGCAGCGAGGCCGCGUGAGGGAUGGAGGCCGUUGGGUUGUGAAAGUCUUUCGCCAGUGAAGCAGGUGUGCCUGGUUUGUGGGUGGGUUGACGGUAGCUGGAAAAGAAGCGCCGGCUAACUACGUG